ensembl:lncRNA
GUUCCAGUUGAAGCCUCACAGUAAGGCUCUAAUAUCACAAGUAUAUACUUUAAUUAUGGCAUCGGGCAAUUACUCAACCAAAUAAUUGCUUUGAGUUGGGAAAAGGAACUGGGUCUUACGUUUGGGGAAGGUUACUGGGACAAAAUAAUUGACAAAAUUCAUACUUCAGCCUCAUGUGCAAGACUCCCUUAUUCAGUUUAAGACGGUAUACAGAUUACACAUCUAGAUUAUCUAAAAUAUACCCCAGCAUUCCUGACCUGUGCAACAGAUGCAACGCCUGUUUUUUGCCUUCCCGACACUUAAGUUAUACUGGACUUUUUAUUUUGAAGUGCUCUCUCAUGUUUUGAGCGUUACACUCCAACCAUGCCCACUAGUUUGGUGUUUCUGAAGAUGCCACCCUAAACCUUAGUCAUAAACAGCUGGAUGUUAUGUUCACUUCACUGCUGGCACGACGUAGAAUUUUGCUGUCUUGGAAAGCUCAUCACCUUCCAGCCCGAGCACGUUGGCUGGAAGAUGUUAUGUUCUUUUUAAAAAUGGAGAAAAUAAAAUUCAGACUCAGAGGAAAUGUUAAUAAGUUCUCACAGAUGUGGCAGCCUUUUAUUAUUUACUUCAGUUCAUUGAAAACACUUCCAACAGACUAAACUUUAGUACCAUGGGGUUUUCUUUUGUUCUGGUUCUGGGGGGAGUUGUUUUUUGUUUGUUUGUUUUUGUUUGUUCUUUUUUUCUUUGCUUCUUUUGUUUUGCUCUCUGUGUGUGUUUUUCCCACUUUUUCCUUCAUUUUUAUUUUAUUUUAUUUUAUUUAUUUAUUUAUUUAUUUAACUUUAAUGGCCUAAUCUGUAUUGAGAUAUAUCUUUGUGUCUGUGGUACCCUCUUUAUUGGGCCUGAUAUGUCAACUUACAUGUAAAAACUCUAUAAAUAAAGAGGGGGAGGGGCUGAGAAAGUUCAGUUUUGAAUGGGUGUAAAUAUUUUAUUUACAGUUUCUCAUACAAAAGGCAUAUAGUAUUCUUCAUGUACAUUCAUACCAGCAGCAGGGUUAAAUUCAUACUGGCCGUUGUCUGGUGGCAUCGACCAGCCAAAUGUCUGGGGCGAGUUGGGGAAGGUCCACUGAGGUCCAGGAGCAAAACUGUCCACAGCAUGAUGAUAGGGGCCCUGAUGGUUUCCACCAUUUGGGAUUGGGUUUACCUCCUGGUGCUCGGUGUACUGCUGCCUGAAUGGGGGCUGUCCCUCUCCCUGAAACUGAAACACAGACAGGUGGACUGUCAGUAAAAUAAGAAUACUUCAAGAAUACUUCAAUCAAUUCCCCGGAUAAUGACAGAAUCAGAAACAGUGCUUUUUAAUAAUAGGAGAUACUCUAAUAGGAGAUGUCUCUCUCCCUGAAACUGAAGGGGACAAGGGGACUGUCAGUAAAACGAGAAUAGUUGUUUUAAAUUAUUGGCAUUACACUUUUUUAAAUACAGUCAAUUCCCCAGAUAAUGACAGAAUCAUCAUCAUCAUCGUUUAUUU